CGGGGCGUAGCGCAGCCUGGUAGCGCGAGAGUUUUGGGUACUCUAGGUCGCUGGUUCGAAUCCAGUCGCCCCGACCA
rnacentral:tRNA from 7 species